rnacentral:rRNA from 1 species
CCCAGACUCCUACGGGAGGCAGCAGUAGGGAAUAUUGCACAAUGGGGGGAACCCUGAUGCAGCGACGCCGCGUGGGUGAAGGAGUGCUUCGGCAUGUAAAGCCCUAUCGGCAGGGAAGAAGCAAGACGGUACCUGACUAAGAAGCCCCGGCUAACUACGUGCCAGCAGCCGCGGUAAUACGUAGGGGGCGAGCGUUAUCCGGAUUCACUGGGUGUAAAGGGAGCGUAGACGGCCAAGCAAGCCAGGGGUGAAAGCCCGGGGCCCAACCCCGGGACUGCCCUUGGAACUGCAUGGCUGGAGUGCGGGAGGGGCAGGCGGAAUUCCUAGUGUAGCGGUGAAAUGCGUAGAUAUUAGGAGGAACACCAGUGGCGAAGGCGGCCUGCUGGGCUUUUACUGACGCUGAGGCUCGAAAGUGUGGGGAGCAAACAGGAUUAGAUACCCGUGUA